GAUGAAGAACGCAGCGAAAUGCGAUAAGUAGUGUGAAUUGCAGAAUUCCGUGAAUCAUCGAAUCUUUGAACGCACAUUGCGCCUUCUGGUAUUCCGGAAGGCAUGCCUGUUCGAGAGUCAUUAACAACCGUUUCGAUCCCUUUCUUUCAGAAAUUACAAAGAGGAAAAGGGUUUGGUUAUGGUGGAGGAGGGAAAGGGAGCGUUUAGCCUGUAAAAAAAGAGGCUGUGUUCCGCCUCCCCCCCAAAAUUGUACAGGCGGUCGUGUGCGCCCACGCAUCGAGGUGUUGUAAAAGCUGCCACGGCACUUUUCACCUGUGCAGUGCGAGAUUGGCCAGCCGGUUUAAAAACCCCUCCAAACAAUCAAAGGUUGACCUCGGAGCAGGUAGGGAUACCCGCUGAACUUAAGCAUAUCAAUAAGCGGAGGA
rnacentral:misc_RNA from 1 species